GGAAUUGUAGCGUAUAGGUGCAAUUGUUCAAUUAGUUUUACAUACUCCAAGUUCCCUUGACUGAGGCUAUAGUCCAAAGAAGGUGCUAGACCUGUAGGAGUAGUGAAACUAUGUUGAUAUUGAUUGUUCCAUUGAGUCGAGUUGUUUGAAAUUGCAGCUCAAAGUAGGUGGUAAACCUCAUCUAAGGCUAAAUAUGACCACGAGACCGAUAGCGAACAAGUACCGUGAGGGAAAGUUGCAAAGAACUUUGAAGAGAGAGUUCAAGAGGGCGUGAAACCGCUUAGAUGGAAGCGGAUAGAGUUAACAAAACACAGCAGCAAUCAUCCGAUUAUGUGUGGAAUAGAUUUUCUUAUAAAUGUAUACACUUUACUGUUGUAACUUGUUAUAGCAGGAGUUGUUUAUGUUUUGGUUAAUUUAUGAAACAUAUUGAUCGGUGCUCUUGCUGUUGUUAUGCACUGAGAGGCUUGCAAAUUAGGUACGGAAAAACUAAAUAAAAGAGGCCUAUAUUUGUUUCGAAUAUAGAAACCUUUUGUUAGUUAUGUCCGUUAUCCAUUGUAAGUUUUGUGAAAAAAAACUGCGUCUGCUUAACAGCGUAGUUCAUCUGCAUUGUGGUAGAUGUAAUGUGAUGUAGAUUUGUCGUUUUAUGCGGCUUGUCUUAUCCUUUAUGUUUACUUCUCUGAUGCUGGGUGUUCAAAACUACUGUAGACGACAGAUUCACAGUGUAUACAAAAAGUUAAUCACCUAUCCGACCCGUCUUGAAACACGGACCAAGGAGUUUAGCAUAUAUGCAAGUCAUUGGGUGUUAAAAACCUAAAGGCAUAAUGAAAAUAAGUAUAUGGGAUCUGUAUAUAUGUAAUUUUAUGUGUAUACAGCGCACCAUAAUCCUGUUAAUAUUGCAUGCAAUUUAGCGGAGAUAGAGCAUAUAUGCUGAGACCCGAAAGAUGGUGAACUAUGCUUGAGC
rnacentral:rRNA from 1 species